GGAGGAUUCUCGCAGGUAGUAGCUGGAAAGAGCCCGCAGGACCUUCGGAGAAGCUCGCUUCAUUCCUCGCCCAUCUCUCUGGCAAAGUCGUGUGGAGCACAUAAUGAGCUACUAUGUGGAUUCUGCCGGGGGCAGCCCCACCACCUUCUCCACCCCACGUCCUGCAAUGCUGAGGCAGGGGCCUAUUAACCUGUUUGAAGAUCCUCGAACGACUUGCGGUUUCCAGGCCAGUUAUCAUCAGCAAAGACCUCUUUACCCAGUCUGGGAUGAGACCGCCACUCAGGAAGUUCCGACUGGCCUUGAACACUGUGGCUCAGGUGGUUGUUGACAAACACAUUUUGCCAUCCUAAAGGAUGAACUGGAAAGACAGAAGGUGGCGGAUCAGCCUUCCAUCAGGCUGACACAUCUCUUGUAUCUUCAUUGCUCUCAUUCUCCACUGGCAUUUGCAGUCUCUUUUCUCCAGCCUUUUCCUGCUCGCCAACCAUCUCUGCCAAGCACUUUCCCCAGUCCCCCUUCCCAAUUUGCUAGCUACAGGGUGGCCCUCUCCUAAGGUGGAGUGAGACUCCCCAGGACCUGUCUGUAGCAAGUCUACCUGUUUGCCCCAGGACCAACCAAAGCAGCCCGAGCUGUUGCCUGUGUGCCUCUGUUUUCUGGGCUUACUUCCAUUUCUUUUCAACUCUAUUAGUCUCUGUUUACU